UCGAGUCGGCCUGCGCGGAAGAUGUAACGGGGCUAAACCAUGCACCGAAGCUGCGGCAGCGACGUUUAGGCGUUGUUGGGUAGGGGAGCGUUCUGUAAGCCGUUGAAGGUGACCUGUGAGGGUUGCUGGAGGUAUCAGAAGUGCGAAUGCUGACAUAAGUAACGAUAAUGCGGGUGAAAAACCCGCACGCCGGAAGACCAAGGGUUCCUGUCCAACGUUAAUCGGGGCAGGGUGAGUCGACCCCUAAGGCGAGGCUGAAAAGCGUAGUCGAUGGGAAACAGGUUAAUAUUCCUGUACUUGGUGUUACUGCGAAGGGGGGACGGAGAAGGCUAGGCUGGCCGGGCGACGGUUGUCCCGGUUUAAGCGUGUAGGGGGAGUGACCAGGUAAAUCCGGUUGCUUAUCAACCCUGAGGCGUGAUGACGAUGCACCACGGUGCAGAAGCAGUUGAUGCCAUGCUUCCAGGAAAAGCCUCUAAGCAUCAGGUAACAUUAAAUCGUACCCCAAACCGACACAGGUGGUCAGGUAGAGAAUACUCAGGCGCUUGAGAGAACUCGGGUGAAGGAACUAGGCAAAAUGGUGCCGUAACUUCGGGAGAAGGCACGCUGGCGUUAGGUGAAAGGACUAGCUCCUGGAGCUGAAGCCAGUCGCAGAUACCAGCUGGCUGCAACUGUUUAAUAAAAACACAGCACUGUGCAAACACGAAAGUGGACGUAUACGGUGUGACGCCUGCCCGGUGCUGGAAGGUUAAUUGAUGGGGUCAGCCGCAAGGCGAAGCUCUUGAUCGAAGCCCCAGUAAACGGCGGCCGUAACUAUAACGGUCCUAAGGUAGCGAAAUUCCUUGUCGGGUAAGUUCCGACCUGCACGAAUGGCGUAAUGAUGGCCAGGCUGUCUCCACCCGAGACUCAGUGAAAUUGAACUCGCUGUGAAGAUGCAGUGUACCCGCGGCAAGACGGAAAGACCCCGUGAACCUUUACUAUAGCUUGACACUGAACAUUGAGCCUUGAUGUGUAGGAUAGGUGGGAGGCCUUGAAGUGUGGACGCCAGUCUGCAUGGAGCCAACCUUGAAAUACCACCCUUUAAUGUUUGAUGUUCUAACUCGGCCCCAUGAUCUGGGGUGAGGACAGUGUCUGGUGGGUAGUUUGACUGGGGCGGUCUCCUCCCAAAGAGUAACGGAGGAGCACGAAGGUUAGCUAAUCACGGUCGGACAUCGUGAGGUUAGUGCAAAGGCAUAAGCUAGCUUGACUGCGAGAGUGACGGCUCGAGCAGGUACGAAAGUAGGUCUUAGUGAUCCGGUGGUUCUGAAUGGAAGGGCCAUCGCUCAACGGAUAAAAGGUACUCCGGGGAUAACAGGCUGAUACCGCCCAAGAGUUCAUAUCGACGGCGGUGUUUGGCACCUCGAUGUCGGCUCAUCACAUCCUGGGGCUGAAGUAGGUCCCAAGGGUAUGGCUGUUCGCCAUUUAAAGUGGUACGCGAGCUGGGUUUAGAACGUCGUGAGACAGUUCGGUCCCUAUCUGCCGUGGGCGUUGGAAGAUUGAGAGGGGCUGCUCCUAGUACGAGAGGACCGGAGUGGACGAAUCACUGGUGUUCGGGUUGUCAUGCCAAUGGCAUUGCCCGGUAGCUAAAUUCGGAAGAGAUAACCGCUGAAAGCAUCUAAGCGGGAAACUUGCCUCGAGAUGAGUCUUCCCUGGGACUUAAAGUCCCCUGAAGGAACGUUAAAGACUAUGACGUUGAUAGGCUGGGUGUGUAAGUGCAGCGAUGUAUUGAGCUAACCAGUACUAAUGAUCCGUGAGGCUUAACCUUACAACACCGAAGGUGUUU
rnacentral:rRNA from 1 species